rnacentral:rRNA from 1 species
CUACGGGGGGCAGCAGUGGGGAAUCUUAGACAAUGGGGGAAACCCUGAUCUAGCCAUGCCGCGUGAGCGACGACGGCCCUAGGGUUGUAAAGCUCUUUCAGCAGGGAAGAUAAUGACGGUACCUGCAGAAGAAGUCCCGGCUAACUCCGUGCCAGCAGCCGCGGUAAUACGGAGGGGACUAGCGUUGUUCGGAAUUACUGGGCGUAAAGCGCGCGUAGGCGGAGUGUUAAGUCGGGGGUGAAAUCCCGGGGCUCAACCCCGGAACUGCCCUCGAUACUGGCAGUCUUGAGUUCGAGAGAGGUGAGUGGAAUUCCGAGUGUAGAGGUGAAAUUCGUAGAUAUUCGGAGGAACACCAGUGGCGAAGGCGGCUCACUGGCUCGAUACUGACGCUGAGGUGCGAAAGCGUGGGGAGCAAACAGGAUUAGAUACCCUCGUAGUC